rnacentral:lncRNA from 1 species
CCAAUGAUGAUCCUAUGACCAGGAGUAAUUUAGAAAUUAACCAUCAAUGACACAUGUCUCAAAUUUUCAACUCUUUGAGAAUAUGUGUCAUCAUCUUGUUAAUCCCUUGGAUAAUUCAUGAACAUAUAAAAUAUGAAUGAAAAUAUAAAUGCCCAUUAAGUAUAAAAUCAUAUCCUAAAAAUAUAAUAUGUGUCAGUCA